UACAGAGGGUGCGAGCGUUGUCCGGAAUCACUGGGCGUAAAGGGCGCGUAGGCGGCCUGAUAAGUAGGGGGUGAAAUCCUGUGGCUUAACUGCAGGGCUGCCUCCUAGACUGUUAGGCUCGAGCACGGUAGAGGCAGAUGGAAUUCCAGGUGUAGCGGUGAAAUGCGUAGAUAUCUGGAGGAACACCGGUGGCGAAGGCGGCAUCCUGGACCGAGAUUGACGCUGAGGCGCGAAAGCCAGGGGAGCAAACGGG
rnacentral:rRNA from 1 species